UACGAAGGGUGCUAGCGUUGUUCGGAAUCACUGGGCGUAAAGCGCGCGUAGGCGGCUUUACAAGUCAGGGGUGAAAUCCCAGAGCUUAACUCUGGAAUCGCCUUUGAAACUGUAAAGCUGGAGUGUUGGAGGGGAUGGCGGAAUUCCUAAUGUAGAGGUGAAAUUCGUAGAUAUUAGGAGGAACACCGGUGGCGAAGGCGGCCAUCUGGACAACAACUGACGCUGAGGCGCGAAAGCGUGGGGAUCAAACAGG
rnacentral:rRNA from 1 species